rnacentral:rRNA from 1 species
UGGGGAAUAUUGGACAAUGGGCGAAAGCCUGAUCCAGCAAUGCCGCGUGAGUGAUGAAGGCCUUAGGGUUGUAAAGCUCUUUUACCAGGGAUGAUAAUGACAGUACCUGGAGAAUAAGCUCCGGCUAACUCCGUGCCAGCAGCCGCGGUAAUACGGAGGGAGCUAGCGUUGUUCGGAAUUACUGGGCGUAAAGCGUACGUAGGCGGUGACUCAAGUCAGAGGUGAAAGCCUGGAGCUCAACUCCAGAACUGCCUUUGAAACUAGGUCGCUAGAAUCACGGAGAGGUGAGUGGAAUUCCGAGUGUAGAGGUGAAAUUCGUAGAUAUUCGGAAGAACACCAGUGGCGAAGGCGGCUCACUGGACGUGUAUUGACGCUGAGGUACGAAAGCGUGGGGAGCAAACAGGAUUAGAUACCCCGGUAGUCCCUGAGCGGGCUGGCAAGGCGCAU